GACGGGGCCCGGCACAAGCGGUGGAGUAUGUGGUUUAAUUCGAUGCAACGCGAAGAACCUUACCUGGUCUUGACAUCCCGGAGACCCUUAGGAAACUAGGGGGUGCUUCCAUCUGGAAGAAUCUGGAGACAGGUGCUGCAUGGCUGUCGUCAGCUCGUGUCGUGAGAUGUUGGGUUAAGUCCCGCAACGAGCGCAACCCUUGCCUUUAGUUGCCAGCAGUUCGGCUGGGCACUCUAAAGGGACUGCCGGUGUUAAACCGGAGGAAGGUGGGGAUGACGUCAAGUCCUCAUGGCCUUUAUGACCAGGGCUACACACGUACUACAGUGGCCGAUACAAAGGGCAGCGACACUGCGAGGUGAAGCCAAUCCCGUAAAAUCGGUCUCAGUCCGGAUUGGAGUCUGCAACUCGACUCCAUGAAGUUGGAAUCGCUAGUAAUCGUGGAUCAGCAUGCCACGGUGAAUACGUUCCCGGGCCUU
rnacentral:rRNA from 1 species